UCCGAAUUGGUGUAGUGGCUAACAUUUGGCGCUCUCAUGAUUGCAAACGCAACACGGCGACCCGCCAAGCCCGGGGUUCGAUUCCCCGAUUCGGAG